rnacentral:rRNA from 1 species
GACGAACGCUGGCGGCGUGCUUAACACAUGCAAGUCGAACGGAAAGGCCCUGCUUUUGUGGGGUGCUCGAGUGGCGAACGGGUGAGUAACACGUGAGUAACCUGCCCUUGACUUUGGGAUAACUUCAGGAAACUGGGGCUAAUACCGGAUAGGAGCUCCUGCUGCAUGGUGGGGGUUGGAAAGUUUCGGCGGUUGGGGAUGGACUCGCGGCUUAUCAGCUUGUUGGUGGGGUAGUGGCUUACCAAGGCUUUGACGGGUAGCCGGCCUGAGAGGGUGACCGGCCACAAUGGGACUGAGAUACGGCCCAGACUCCUACGGGAGGCAGCAGGGGGGAAUAUUGCACAAUGGGCGGAAGCCUGAGGCAGCAACGCCGCGUGCGGGAUGACGGCCUUCGGGUUGUAAACCGCUUUAGCCUGUGACGAAGCGUGAGUGACGGUAAUGGGUAAAGAAGCACCGGCUAACUACGUG